rnacentral:rRNA from 1 species
GACGAACGCUGGCGGCGUGCUUAACACAUGCAAGUCGAACGGAAAGGCCCUGCUUUUGUGGGGUGCUCGAGUGGCGAACGGGUGAGUAACACGUGAGUAACCUGCCCUUGACUUUGGGAUAACUUCAGGAAACUGGGGCUAAUACCGGAUAGGAGCUCCUGCUGCAUGGUGGGGGUUGGAAAGUUUCGGCGGUUGGGGAUGGACUCGCGGCUUAUCAGCUUGUUGGUGGGGUAGUGGCUUACCAAGGCUUUGACGGGUAGCCGGCCUGAGAGGGUGACCGGCCACAUUGGGACUGAGAUACGGGCCAGACUCCUACGGGAGGCAGCAGUGGGGAAUAGUGCACGAUGGGCGGAAGCCUGAUGCAGCAACGCCGCGUGCGGGAUGACGGCCUUCGGGGUGUAAACCGCUUUCGCCUGUGACGAAGCGUGAGUGACGGUAAUGGGUAAAGAAGCACCGGCUAACUACGUG